rnacentral:tRNA from 1 species
AUUUAAGUAGUUUAAUAAAAAUGUUGGUUUGUGGAAUCAAAGAUAUAAUAGAAUUUAUUUUAAAUC